rnacentral:rRNA from 1 species
GAUGAACGCUGGCGGCGUGCCUAAUACAUGCAAGUCGAGCGAACAGACGAGGAGCUUGCUCCUCUGACGUUAGCGGCGGACGGGUGAGUAACACGUGGAUAACCUACCUAUAAGACUGGGAUAACUUCGGGAAACCGGAGCUAAUACCGGAUCAUAUAUUGAACCGCAUGGUUCAAUAGUGAAAGACGGUUUUGCUGUCACUUAUAGAUGGAUCCGCGUCGCAUUAGCUAGUUGGUAAGGUAACGGCUUACCAAGGCAACGAUGCGUAGCCGACCUGAGAGGGUGAUCGGCCACACUGGAACUGAGACACGGUCCAGACUCCUACGGGAGGCAGCAGUAGGGAAUCUUCCGCAAUGGGCGAAAGCCUGACGGAGCAACGCCGCGUGAGUGAUGAAGGUCUUCGGAUCGUAAAACUCUGUUAUUAGGGAAGAACAAAUGUGUAAGUAACUAUGCACGUCUUGACGGUACCUAAUCAGAAAGCCACGGCUAACUACGUG